rnacentral:ncRNA from 1 species
AGACAUGGCUUGGGGUGCCUCGCUUCGCGGGGCUGAGAACAUACCCAUCGAACCUGUCUGGGUCAUGCCAGCGUAGGGAGCCGCGAAUGGUUCAG